rnacentral:rRNA from 1 species
CACGUAGGGCGCAAGCGUUGUCCGGAAUUAUUGGGCGUAAAGAGCUCGUAGGCGGUCUGUCGCGUCGGAUGUGAAAGCCCGGGGCUUAACCCCGGGUCUGCAUUCGAUACGGGCAGACUAGAGUGUGGUAGGGGAGAUCGGAAUUCCUGGUGUAGCGGUGAAAUGCGCAGAUAUCAGGAAGAACACCCGUGGCGAAGGCGGCUCUCUGGACGGUACUGACGCUGAGACGCGAAAGCGUGGGAGCGAACAGG